rnacentral:rRNA from 1 species
UACGUAGGGUGCGAGCGUUGUCCGGAAUUAUUGGGCGUAAAGCGCACGUAGGCGGCUCUAUAAGUCGGAUGUGAAAUCCCUCGGCUUAACCAAGGAAGUGCAUCCGAAACUGUGGAGCUUGAGUACUUAAGAGGAUCGCGGAAUUCCCGGUGUAGAGGUGAAAUUCGUAGAUAUCGGGAGGAACACCAGUGGCGAAGGCGGCGAUCUGGGAAGAUACUGACGCUGAGGUGCGAAAGCGUGGGGAGCAAACAGG